rnacentral:lncRNA from 1 species
ACUAAGUGGCAUGACACUUGUUCAAUUACAACAGAUACAUCAUGGUCCAUUACAAUGCUUGCUUCUAUAUUUAAACUACAACCCAGGGCGGUUAGGGAAUGUGCUACUUUAUUACAAUCUCUACUGGAGUACACAAGUUUUAAAACUGUAGAAGUUUUAGUAGAGAAACUCCUUCAGAUCCAGCAUAGUAAUGCAGACCUCAAGAGAGAUCUUUCCCUUCAUGUUCCACACCCGCUAGUCUCAAAACUAAUAUUGCUUAUACCUCAACUUUACUUAGCAGUCACAACUAAUUGUGCUCAUUCGUGAGCCGCCACAAUCUCAACAUGCAAGUAACGUAGUAUAUUCAGAGUUUUACCCAUCGUACAUACGAUAUCAUCUCUUUCAUCGUCUCUAAUGAAAGAUCCCCAGCCACCAUUACUAUUUCCAGAAAAGAAAGCCCAUCACAGUUUACCUUCAAAGUUCCUCCUUCAGGUCAUUUCCAUUUCAUUUUUUUUCCAGUAAUUCUGUUCUCCUUCUUGAAAAUACAAGAGCACUAAUCAACUUGCUUGUAGGGAAUAUAAGAGAGCUCUUCUACAUUUCUUAUUUUACCUUCCUCCCUGCUUUUGCCUCUUUCAAACCACCACUGAUGUAAUGUUCUUAUCUUGAUUUGUAUUUC